AUUUAAAAUGGUUGAGUAUGGCCUAGAAACUUUGAAACCAAGGGUCUGUUCUGUAAUACCUUUUAUUUAAAAUGGUUGAGUAUGGCCUAGAACCAGACUUUGAAACCAAGAGUCUCUUCUGUAAUCUGCAUCUUGUUGCUUCAAAAUUUCACUCCUCACUUUGGAGCCAUGGGUGCACCAUAAGAGUGACAGUCAAAAACCAACUGUUAGAUCAAAGAAAAUUGGGUGCUAUUUACCAGCUGCAUCUAGACAGACCUUGUGUAGCUUUGCACAAAUAACCAAACCCAGCAACUAACUUUAAAUAUGAUAUAUAUAUAAGACUGUAGACAAAUCUGUAAUCAGUUUGGUAGAUAAAUGGGUUUGAAAACAUUUGUUUAAAAACCUGUGUAACUCUGAUUGAUAAUUCUAGGAUUUAAGAAAAAUCACAAUGUUGCGUGAACUGAAUAUUGAAAAUUAUUUUUCUGUUUUAUGGUUAUAUAAACUAUAAAAAUAUUUCAAUUUAAAAACUUGUAAAAUGUGUUUGUUAGAAGAGAGCAGUCGGUGUUACAAUAUCAAAUAUUCAUUCAUCAUCAAGUUUGAUUUUGUGAUCAUUCCGUUCUUUUUAAAUUUUUGAGUCGUGUUAAAUCCCCAACAUAUUGAAAAGUACAUUUACUGUGACUACUAACUGAAUUGAUCUCGUACUGGACUUAUGAAUAUUACUGUGUAAAUAUAAAUGUUUCUGAUUUUUUGUUCUUUAUAAACUUUAUAAAUAUCGGUCGUAUACCAUUAGAGCUUGCUGCUGGCACAGUAGUGACUCUUUAGGCUUAUAAUGCUAAAAAUCAGGUUUUGAUAGUCGAUUGUGUAGUUUGUGCUUAACAACAAAACAAACAAAGUCUGGCACAGUAGUGACUCUUUAGGCUUAUAAUGCUAAAAGUCAGGUUUUGAUAGUCGAUUGUGUAGUUUGUGCUUAACAACAAACCAAACAAAGUCUGGCACAGUAGUGACUCUUUAGGCUUAUAAUGCUAAAAGUCAGGUUUUGAUAGUCGAUUGUGUAGUUUGUGCUUAACAACAAAACAAACAAAGUCUGGCACAGUAGUGACUCUUUAGGCUUAUAAUGCUAAAAGUCAGGUUUUGAUAGUCGAUUGUGUAGUUUGUGCUUAACAACAAAACAAACAAAUAAACAAAGUAUUUGCUAGAAACAGACAUUCUAACUGUAGUAAUAGAAAUGAGAAUUUUUUAAUUAGAAAACUAUUAUUUUAAACUGGGUUUUACAAAAACCUCCGUUUCUUUAAUAGCAGAAGUAGUUACAUUUGAAUGAUCGACCACAAUGCACUUUUACUUGUUAGCUAUAAUUAAAAAGCUGUGUGUGUUAGGGUUAAGAAAACUUUGAUGAGCUUAUGAGGAAAGUUAAUUCACAUUUUUUCCAUAAAGUCGUAGAGUAGUUUUAGUGAAUUAUGCAAUAAGGCAUCUAAAGGUGGAUAGAACUGAUCCACAAUUAAGAAAUGCAAAAAAAAUGUUCUUCUAAUUUUCUACACAUUAAACCCUCAUACUUGGACUGAAAAGUGUGAUUUUAACAUAAUGUUUUUAAUAUUAUCGAUUAUGACUACAAAUCUUUAUGUCGGGGUAAUUACCAAGAGUUGCUGUUUUUCAGGUCUACAAACAUGCAAAGCGGUUUGGAUAUGGAGACCAUGACAUAUCAGCAGUAUAUCUUCGAGCCCGGUUUUGAUAUCUUCAGAAGGUUUUUAGAAAUCCUGCCUUUCUCAGCUAUGGCUCUUCAUGGAAUGAUACGUGGUCGUUUUAAAGGCCAUUUCUCCGAAUUGAAGUGUUAUUUUCAUGCAAAAUUUUGUAAUUUGAAAGAUAUAUAAUCCAAGAACUGCUCGAUCAUUAUUUUUUAUGGACGUCUUUUAUAAAAAUGUACAUAAAUUUUUGUUUAUACUAA